GUGACAUUGUUCAACGGCCGCGGUAUCCUAACCGUGCGAAGGUAGCGUAAUCACUUGUUCUUUAAAUGAGGACUAGUAUGAACGGCUUCACGAAAGCUAUGCUGUCUCCUUUAUCCAAUCAGUUAAACUAAUCUCCCCGUGAAGAAGCGGGGAUACCUCUAUAAGACGAGAAGACCCUAUGGAGCUUUAAACACUUUAAACACCUGAUUAUUUCCACCAAGAUCCUCAGAGAUCUUAAACCAAACUAAACUUAUCAUCCUUGUUUUAAGUUUUAGGCUGGGGCGACCACGGAGCCAAACCCUACCUCCACGUAGAAAGGAACUCUUUCCUAAGCAAAAAGCCACAUCUUUAUGCAUCAAUAAACUGACCUAAAUUGACCCAAUUACUUGAUCAACGAACCAAGUUACCCUAGGGAUAACAGCGCAAUCCGCUUUAAGAGCUCCUAUCGACAAGCGGGCUUACGACCUCGAUGUUGGAUCAGGGUAUCCUGGUGGUGCAGCAGCUACUAACGGUUCGUUUGUUCAACGAUUAAAACCCU
rnacentral:rRNA from 1 species